UUUAGCUUUCUUUUUUUUUCUCUCCCUCUCUCUUGUAAACAGCAACACCCAAUUCUCUUUUACCAAAUAUUUUCUCUCUCCUGUUGCUACCUCUUCUAGAUCGUGCUAAACUGCUAAGUGAAGUUCUUUUUGCAACAUCUUCCAAUCUCCAUUGAAGGAAGACCUCCAUUGAAGCAAGAAGCAAGAUGAAGCAAAUUUUUAAUUGGCUGAUAGAUGGUCAUAACAGAGACAAAAAAGGGCAGCAUAUGACAACUAAUUUAUGAGUCUUAUCGGUUAAAUUCUCGAGUUAGUUAUUUUCAAUGUGGUCUUGAAUUAUAUAUAUCUAUAAAAUCUAAUUUCUUGUAUUUGAGCAAAAAUAAGAAAUGAGCAAAGUCUCUGGAAAAAAAAAGGUUGAAGAAGAUGAAGGUUGAAGAAGAAGGUGGGAGAUAUCAAGACUUAAAAGUUACCCUUAGUUAAUGUUAUUGCCGACACGAUGAGUUUGUAGCUUCGUUAUAACUUUUAUUGUGUUCUGUUAUUAUGGAUGAUUCAUGUUUAUGUA